rnacentral:rRNA from 1 species
UACGUAGGUGGCAAGCGUUGUCCGGAUUUACUGGGCGUAAAGAGCGCGCAGGCGGUCGUUCAAGUCGCGUGUGAAAGCCCCCGGCUCAACUGGGGAGGGUCACGCGAUACUGAUCAACUCGAAGGCAGGAGAGGGUAGUGGAAUUCCCGGUGUAGUGGUGAAAUGCGUAGAUAUCGGGAGGAACACCAGUGGCGAAGGCGACUACCUGGCCUGUUAUUGACGCUGAGGCGCGAAAGCUAGGGGAGCAAACGGG